AAGUCGGGUGUGAAACUUUGAGGCUCAACCUCGAGAGGCCACUCGAUACUGUGUGACUAAAGUCCGGUAGAGGAGUGUGGAAUUCCUGGUGUAGCGGUGAAAUGCGCAAAUAUCAGGAGGAACACCGACGGCGAAGGCAGCACUCUGGGCCGGUACUGACGCUGAGGAGCGAAAGCAUGGGGAGCAAACAGGAUUAAAUACCCUGGUAGUCCAUGCCGUAAACGUUGGGCACUAGGUGUGGGGUCUCGCUAACCGAUUCCGUGCCGCAGCUAACGCAUUAAGUGCCCCGCCUGGGGAGUACGGCCGCAAGGCUAAAACUCAAAUGAAUUGACGG
rnacentral:rRNA from 1 species